ensembl:lncRNA
CCCUCUUUCCCCUCAGCUCCCCUUUGGAAUAAGGGUCCAGAAUUACUAUCUAGAUACAGGGCAUGCUGAGUGCACUCAAAAUCAGUUAUGAGCCUGAGAUGUAACAGUCAGACACAGAUUUGCUGGUUACUUCAUUCAACGUGUCUCACAUCCCUCUCUAUGUGCGAUAUGCACCGUCCUCCUUCGAGCAGCAAGCAGGCUACCGCAUUCAUCUUUACCUAUCACCUUAUCUUUUCAUUUCUGGCUGCUCAGCUCCAUUCUGAAAAGUGCAAUAAAUACGUGUCCCCCUGGGUCCUUGCAAGCUGGGCAUUAGUCACACCAUGCGUUUCAAGGGCAUCAGUCUGAUAGUUUUUCAGCUGUAACAGAAAACAUGUUCUGCCAGGAGCCAUUUGUUCCAGUUUUGUUGCUUACUAAUAAAAUCAAAAUCAAUGUGUUUUUUGAGCUCGAGAAGCAGGUCGGAGAGUAGGAGGGAGAUAGGUGGUAAAAAUGGAGGUGCUGAAGUUGGAUCUUGUGAGUUUCUCAUGAAAUAAUGGCAUGUGGCAUUUCAGAGCAAGUGAGAAGCUCUGGCAGCUUGUGAAAGGCAGUCACCUCUGGCAAGCAGCAGAGCGGCUGCUUAACAGCAAAUAGGACUGGUGCAUAGCUUCACAUUGGGCAAUUUAAAUCCAAUUCUGUAAUAUGAAAGGCAUUGAGAGGGUGUUUUAUUUGCCGUGCUUCUGGAUUAAGUGCCAGUGGAACAUCCGUGGUGACACGGAUCGCUUCCAAUUUCUCGUCUCUGCUGCAGAUGGAGUGCUCCCAUAUCACCAGUUCCUCAACCACUGACGUGCCAGUUCAAACCAGUUAGUCAUCUACCCAAGCAAAAUCAUCUAGCUGAGCUUAAAAUAUGGCCUGUUGGCUUUACUGAAUCAGUGCCUUAGUCACAGCUGCUUCGGAGGAGUUUUGCUCAGAGGAAGAUGCAAUCAAUGCCUUCUCUUGCCUUGGAAUUUUCCCAGUUUCGUCAUGACUGAUUCAGCUGAUGAAUUUCUCUGAGCUGACACUGUCGCCCUGCAAUAAAUGAAGCUUACCUGGACACGGCAAUUCUUCUCUCAACAAUGUCUGUUUUCUUUGGAAUCGUUUAGAUGAGUCAGGAUGGUAACACCGCAGCCCCCUCCUCGCUGUGGUCAGAGGUCCCUGGAGGUUUUCAGAAGGGCGGAGCGCUCUUCCCCAUGUGAAUGUGUUAGAGUGGACUAUGGGGCGAAUUCUGCUCUUCCUCUGUCAAGAUGAGUGAGCCUGGACUGAUCUGCAGUUUAAAGGUAAACAUUAUUUUGCAGAAAUUGGGUUAGAUUAGGGGUUUGUAUGUGCCUGCAUGCCAGCUGCCCACUGACUUCUAGGACCCCUUCAGAUACCUUUUUAUUGGUAUUCAAACUCCAUUAUAUUCCUAAUUCAAAAUGAAUACUUAUGCAAAAGAUGGUUUAGACCAUGCGUACACCAAUGGGCAAUUACC